rnacentral:rRNA from 2 species
UACGGGGGGGGCAAGCGUUGUUCGGAAUUACUGGGCGUAAAGGGCGCGUAGGCGGUCUACUAAGUUGGAUGUGAAAACUCUGGGCUUAACCCAGAGCCUGCAUUCAAAACUGAUAGGCUGGAGUUCUGGAGGGGAUAGCGGAAUUCCUGGUGUAGCGGUGAAAUGCGUAGAUAUCAGGAGGAACACCGGUGGCGAAGGCGGCUAUCUGGACAGAAACUGACGCUGAGGCGCGAAAGCUAGGGGAGCAAACAGG